UGAGCAAAACACCCUAUUUACACUUGAUAAGAGCUUAUUUGGGAAGCUUAUUAAACUUAAGUUCUUAAAUCUCGGCCAUAAUAAAAUUACCUUUAUUCCUGCCGGCCUAUUUGCUGAAGUUGCUGCCUUGACUUUAUUGAGGCUUAAUGAGAACAACACUACCUCCAUUAAGGAAGGAGCAUUAGGACUGCUGGUUAAUUUGAAUGAGUUGUAAGUACUACUUAAUUAGUUGUACGUGUAAUAGCUUCAUAUAUUAUGCAUGACGUUACCCGUUU